GAGCUCAUUUUAGCAGCACAUAUACCAAAAACUGGAAGCAUACAGAGAUUAGCAUGGUCCCUGUGUAAAUACGACACAAAAAUCCAUGAAGUGUUCUAUAUUUUU